UGGGGGUACGAUCGAGAGAGAGACCAGGGAGAAACCCUUCUCCUCAAAACCUAGCAAGAAAUCAUCAAAUUGAAGGGCAAUAGGGCUGAAAUCUUAUGCAUGAGUUAAGAACUAAGAUCACCUAAGUGUUCUUGACAUCAAAAAGUUGAAUGCGAAAUUGUAGGCGUGAAGGAGGAAGGUACAAGCCUAACCGGUUCGCAAGCAACGCAAAACAAAGGUGAAUCUCACUCUUGAUAAUGGCGAGCUUGGAUCGAACACACCACAUCGCCCUUUAUGCGCUUCCGGUUUAGUCGUCUUUGUAAAUGGGUCAAAACACUUUCAUAAUGUAAAUGUUAAGUUUAUGUCUAAGAUGUUUCGUAAGUAAAUUAGGAUUUUAAAUCUUAUUUUUGGUAGUUCGGACAAAAC
rnacentral:lncRNA from 1 species